rnacentral:rRNA from 1 species
GUCUACGGCCAUGCUACCCUAAACAAGCCCGACCCCAUCUGAUCUCAGAAGCUAAGUUGGGUCGGGCCUGGUUAGUACUUGGAUGAGAGACCACCUAAGAAGACCAGGUGCUGUAGGCA